GGGCUGUUCCCACCCAUUUUGUGUGUGUGUUAAUUUUGUGUUUUUUUUCCUUUGCUCUGCUACAGCUUUGUGGCGUGGCUCAGGAAGCAGAAGGUGGGAGCUGGGUCUAAGAUGGAGGCCCUGCAGAAAUAUGUGCUGGCCCGGGACGCAGAGCCCAAGGCAGCACCGGAGCCAGUUCAUGCCCUCCCACGGCCGGGCGUCUCCUACUCGGAUCCAACCGACGCCCAACUGCUCGCCGCUGCCGACGAGGUCGACCCUCCUGGUGAGUAUACGUUUUGAUCUGAGUACACCUGUGACGCACGUGUAAUGCACCGCCCUAAUGCUGACAUGUGUCAGGCACGUCCAGGUACGCCCCACCAACAGCUGUCCCGCUGGAAGGACCAGCACCAGGGCCAGGACCGAUGGCCCAGAGGCCUGCCACCGGCAAAGAGGUAUGUUUGAUGUGUGUGUGUAUGUAUAUGAUGCGUGUGUAUGCCUGUCUGUUGCACAUUAACACCCGCUAACUGUGUGUGUCUGCUGUGUGUGUGUGUUUCAGCUGCUUCCCCUCAGCUGGAGGCAGACGCUGCCUGAAGAGCAGCAGCAGUGGGUGGGCCGGGCCCUGUUCCACAGGGACCCCAGCAGCGGGAAGGUGGUCCUCUUCACACCGCCCCGACUGUGGUGGUACCCGCCAGGCGCCCGGCUCCUCUACACGCAGCCCCCCGCCACAGACCACGCCUUCUUCAAGCGUCCGUUCUUCCUCUGGCUGCCGGAUGUGGGCGUACCACCUCAAGUGCCCCGCCGAUGG
rnacentral:lncRNA from 1 species